rnacentral:rRNA from 1 species
UACAGAGGUCUCAAGCGUUGUUCGGAUUCAUUGGGCGUAAAGGGCGCGUAGGCGGCGGGGUAAGUCGGGUGUGAAAUCUCAGGGCUCAACCCUGAAACUGCACUCGAUACUGCUCUGCUUGAGGACUGGAGAGGAGACUGGAAUUCACGGUGUAGCAGUGAAAUGCGUAGAUAUCGUGAGGAAGACCAGUGGCGAAGGCUGGUCUCUGGACAGUUCCUGACGCUGAGGCGCGAAGGCCAGGGGAGCAAACGGG